CUUGUUGGUGGGGUGAUGGCCUACCAAGGCGACGACGGGUAGCCGGCCUGAGAGGGCGACCGGCCACACUGGGACUGAGACACGGCCCAGACUCCUACGGGAGGCAGCAGUGGGGAAUAUUGCACAAUGGGCGGAAGCCUGAUGCAGCGACGCCGCGUGAGGGACGACGGCCUUCGGGUUGUAAACCUCUUUCAGCUCCGACGAAGCGUAAGUGACGGCAGGAGCAGAAGAAGCGCCGGCCAACUACGUGCCAGCAGCCGCGGUAAGACGUAGGGCGCAAGCGUUGUCCGGAUUUAUUGGGCGUAAAGAGCUCGUAGGCGGCGUGUCGCGUCGACUGUGAAAACCCGCAGCUCAACUGCGGGCCUGCAGCCGAUACGGGCAGGCUAGAGUUCGGUAGGGGAGACUGGAAUUCCUGGUGUAGCGGUGAAAUGCGCAGAUAUCAGGAGGAACACCGGUGGCGAAGGCGGGUCUCUGG
rnacentral:rRNA from 1 species